AGCUCCAAUAGCGUAUAUUAAAGUUGUUGCAGUUAAAAAGCUCGUAGUUGAACCUUGGGCCUGGCUGGCCGGUCCGCCUCACCGCGAGUACGGGUCCGGCCGGGCCUUUCCUUCUGGGGAACCUCAUGCCCUUCACUGGCUGUGGGGGGGAACCAGGACUUUUACUUUGAAAAAAUUAGAGUGUUCAAAGCAGGCCUUUGCUCGAAUACAUUAGCAUGGAAUAAUAGAAUAGGACGUGCGGUUCUAUUU
rnacentral:rRNA from 1 species